rnacentral:rRNA from 1 species
UGGGGAAUAUUGGACAAUGGGCGCAAGCCUGAUCCAGCCAUGCCGCGUGAGUGAUGAAGGCCAUAGGGUUGUAAAGCUCUUUCACCGGUGAAGAUAAUGACGGUAACAGGAGAAGAAGCCCCGGCUAACUUCGUGCCAGCAGCCGCGGUAAUACGAAGGGGGCUAGCGUUGUUCGGAUUUACUGGGCGUAAAGCGCACGUAGGCGGACUAUUAAGUCAGGGGUGAAAUCCCGGGGCUCAACCCCGGAACUGCCUUUGAUACUGGUAGUCUUGAGUUCGAGAGAGGUGAGUGGAAUUCCGAGUGUAGAGGUGAAAUUCGUAGAUAUUCGGAGGAACACCAGUGGCGAAGGCGGCUCACUGGCUCGAUACUGACGCUGAGGUGCGAAAGCGUGGGGAGCAAACAGG